UACGUAGGGGGCAAGCGUUAUCCGGAUUUACUGGGUGUAAAGGGAGCGUAGACGGUGCGCCAAGUCUGGAGUGAAAUGCCGCAGCUUAACUGCGGAACUGCUUUGGAAACUGGCCGGCUGGAGUGCUGGAGAGGCAGGCGGAAUUCCUGGUGUAGCGGUGAAAUGCGUAGAUAUCACGCAGAACUCCGAUUGCGAAGGCAGCAUACCGGCGCCCGACUGACGCUGAAGCACGAAAGCGUGGGGAUCGAACAGG
rnacentral:rRNA from 1 species